rnacentral:rRNA from 1 species
UACGUAGGGUGCGAGCGUUGUCCGGAAUUAUUGGGCGUAAAGAGCUCGUAGGCGGCCUGUCGCGUCGGAUGUGAAAGCCCGGGGCUUAACUCCGGGUCUGCUUUCGAUACGGGCAGACUAGAGGUAUGCAGGGGAGAACGGAAUUCCUGGAUGUGAGCGGUGAAAUGACGCAGAUAUCAGGAGGAACACCGGUGGCGAAGGCGGUUCCU